UACGAAGGUCCCAAGCGUUAUCCGGAUUUAUUGGGUUUAAAGGGUGCGUAGGCGGUCUUUUAAGUCAGCGGUGAAAUCCUCCAGCUUAACUGGAGAACUGCCAUUGAUACUGGAAGACUUGAGUACAGACGAGGUAGGCGGAAUUGACAGUGUAGCGGUGAAAUGCAUAGAUAUUGUCAAGAACACCGAUUGCGAAGGCAGCUUACUAGACUGUAACUGACGCUGAGGCACGAAAGUGUGGGGAUCAAACAGG
rnacentral:rRNA from 1 species